rnacentral:rRNA from 1 species
GGGGGAGCCCCGGAGAUGGGCUCUGAGACACGAGCCCAGACCUUACGGAGUGCAGCAGUUGCGAAACCUUCACAAUGUGGGAAACCACGAUGAGGGAACUCCCAAGUGCCAGCACCCAGUGCUGGCUUUUCACCUGUGUAAAGAGCAGGUGGAAUAAGGGCCGGGUAAGACGGGUGCCAGCCGCCGCGGUAACACCCGCGGCCCGAGUGGUGACCAUUUUUAUUGAGCUUAAAGCGUCCGUAGCCGGUCUGGUAAAUCUCUGGGUAAAUCGGACGGCUUAACCGUUCGAAUUCCAGAGAAACUGCUAGACUUGGGGCCGGGAGAAGCUAGAGGUACUCCAGGGGUAGAAGUAAAAUUCUGUAAUCCUUGGAGGACCACCAGUGGCGAAAGCGUCUAGCUAGAACGGACCCGACGGUGAGGGACGAAGCCCUGGGGCGCGAACCGGAUUAGAUACCCGGGUAGUCCAGGGUGUAAACGAUGUGGGCUAGGUGUCGGAAGUCCUACGCGGGCAUCCGGUGCCGUAGAUAAAUUGUUAAGCCCUCCGCUUGGGAAGAACGUGCGCAAGCAU